GUAGGCGACAACAUGGUGUGUGGCUACUGUCACAGGGACAGAUGCUUUGUUUCAACAAGCCAUAAAGAUUUCUUGCGGAGCCCCUAGGGUGAAUUGUGCACCAAUAUCACCUGGUGGCAUAUGUUUUGAACCCAAUAAAUUGGCUAAUCAUGCAACCGUGGCCCUCAAUCUCAACUAUUUAGCCAAUAAUGUUUGCCCUCGUCCAUUUGGCAUAACUGCAGUAACAAAUCCUUCAUAUGGAAGAUGCAUUUUACAAGGAAAACCAUCUCCGUGACAGCAAUAUGGAAGAACAUCGUCACUUUCAAUUUCAAUAAAACAUGGAUGCCUUUUUUCUAUUAGUUGAAAAUAAUAUAUUAUGAUUGGAAUGAUGUAUCGCGGGGUCUUUGUGGAACCUUUUUUUUUUUUUUUUUUAAUAUUUUUAUGUGUUGACCCACAAGUGCGAGUUCUUAAUCACAAGACUUAUGAAAAUGGAAAAAACUUUACCUUGUUUACUA